rnacentral:rRNA from 1 species
UACGUAGGGGCAAGCGUUGUCCGGAAUCAUUGGGCGUAAAGAGCGUGUAGGCGGUUCGAUAAGUCUGCUGUGAAAGUCCAGGCUCAACCCUGGGAUGCCGGUGGAUACUGUCGGGCUAGAGUACGGAAGAGGCGAGUGGAAUUCCCGGUGUAGCGGUGAAAUGCGCAGAUAUCGGGAGGAACACCUAUUGCGAAGGCAGCUCGCUGGGACGUUACUGACGCUGAGACGCGAAAGCGUGGGGAGCAAACAGG